rnacentral:rRNA from 1 species
CGAACGGGUGAGUAACACGUGGGUAAUCUGCCCUGCACUCUGGGACAAGCCUUGGAAACGGGGUCUAAUACCGGAUAUGAUGCAUGACCGCAUGGUUGUGUGUGGAAAGCUCCGGCGGUGCAGGAUGAGCCCGCGGCCUAUCAGCUUGUUGGUGGGGUAGUGGCCUACCAAGGCGACGACGGGUAGCCGGCCUGAGAGGGCGACCGGCCACACUGGGACUGAGACACGGCCCAGACUCCUACGGGAGGCAGCAGUGGGGAAUAUUGCACAAUGGGCGGAAGCCUGAUGCAGCGACGCCGCGUGAGGGAUGACGGCCUUCGGGUUGUAAACCUCUUUCAGUAGGGAAGAAGCUUUCGGGUGACGGUACCUGCAAAAGAAGCACCGGCUAACUACGUGCCAGCAGCCGCGGUAAUACGUAGGGUGCGAGCGUUGUCCGGAAUUAUUGGGCGUAAAGAGCUCGUAGGCGGCUUGUCGCGUCGGUUGUGAAAGCCCGGGGCUUAACCCCGGGUCUGCAGUCGAUACGGGCAGGCUAGAGUUCGGUAGGGGAGAUCGGAAUUCCUGGUGUAGCGGUGAAAUGCGCAGAUAUCAGGAGGAACACCGGUGGCGAAGGCGGAUCUCUGGGCCGAUACUGACGCUGAGGAGCGAAAGCGUGGGGAGCGAACAGGAUUAGAUACCCUGGUAGUCCACGCCGUAAACGGUGGGAACUAGGUGUGGGCGACAUUCCACGUUGUCCGUGCCGCAGCUAACGCA